AGGUUUGUGGAUCGCGCGUUGCGGGCGUUGAAUAUUCAUGAAAAUAACGCAAAGCUUGUAAAGCAGUGUAACGCUCGCUGUGGUGGAAAAGACAGAUAGCAGAAGUGUGAAAUGGACUGACGUUAGCUAGAGGAAGGAAAAAUCGGGUUUCCAUCAACUGACAGCAUGGGUAAUGUGCUUUUUUGUGUGUUUCUUAAAUCUUUCCCAGUUUUCAGAUGCCAUUUUGCUUACGAAACGCACAUUUAAAGACCACAACAAGAUGAUAAAUGCUUGUUUCUUAGCUUUUAUCUAUAUAUAUAAAAUUCUCGUGUCGUGGUGUUAGUGUGCAAACUCCUCUUAAACGGCUGAACUGAUUUGUAUGAAAUUUAAGCUGGACGUUCGUUAGGUAUGAGAAUAGGUUUAGCGCUAUAGUUCGUUUCGCUAGGUGGCCUCUGGCCAAUAUUAUGAGUUCUUUUCGGUUUUUCCUACGGGUGUUAUCAAGUAGGCAUAGCCAUUUUUUCAACACGAAUAAAGUUGAACACUACUGAGACGAAAAGCUUCUAACGAACAAAUCAAUCAAAGUAGGUACACAUGACGAUUUAUUUGUGCAAUUUUAUUCAUUAAAGCGUAAAGUGGGUGAUAAAUAAGUAAAAAGCAAGUGUGUGAAUAAUUCUCUCUCUCUCUCUUCUUGGCUUUAACGACCUUACUGGUCACGCCGGCCAUUUCUGGCAUACUAGACUUAUUUUUACCACGUAGCGGGAUAGUCAGUCCUUGCUACGGGGGGAUGGUCCGGAUGGGAUUUGAACCCGGUCCUGCGUG